UACGUAGGGUGCAAGCGUUAAUCGGAAUUACUGGGCGUAAAGCGCACGUAGGCGGCUUUGUAAGUUAGAGGUGAAAGCCCGGGGCUCAACUCCGGAAUUGCCUUUAAGACUGCAUCGCUAGAAUUGUGGAGAGGUAAGUGGAAUUCCGAGUGUAGAGGUGAAAUUCGUAGAUAUUCGCAAGAACACCAGUGGCGAAGGCGGCCAACUGGACCAUUACUGACGCUGAGGUGCGAAAGCGUGGGGAGCAAACAGG
rnacentral:rRNA from 1 species